GACGAACGCUGGCGGCGUGCUUAACACAUGCAAGUCGAACGGUGAUGCUCCAGCUUGCUGGAGUGGAUCAGUGGCGAACGGGUGAGUAACACGUGAGCAACCUGCCCCAGACUCUGGAAUAAGCGCUGGAAACGGCGUCUAAUACUGGAUACGAAACUGGCCCGCAUGGGCAUGGUUUGGAAAGUUUUUCGGUUUGGGAUGGGCUCGCGGCCUACCAGCUUGUUGGUGAGGUAAUGGCUCACCAAGGCGACGACGGGUAGCCGGCCUGAGAGGGCGACCGGCCACACUGGGACUGAGACACGGCCCAGACUCCUACGGGAGGCAGCAGUGGGGAAUAUUGCACAAUGGGCGAAAGCCUGAUGCAGCGACGCCGCGUGAGGGAUGACGGCCUUCGGGUUGUAAACCUCUUUCAGCAGGGAAGAAGCGAAAGUGACGGUACCUGCAGAAGAAGCACCGGCUAACUACGUG
rnacentral:rRNA from 1 species